UAUCAGCCUUUUGGGUGUGAUUUUGUGGAACGUGAGGAGUUAAACGCCUUCAUGCCUGCAUAUUCGUGCACUUUGGGUGUACUUGCCCGUGUGGUUGGUUAACAUCAAUUUUGGUUAUCAUAAAAUGACUGGAGGAAUGUAGCUUCGAUCUCGUAUUGAAGUGUUAUAGCCUUCGGUAGAUGUGAUGAUCGAGAUUGAGGAUUGCAACGGAUACCCUUCGGGGCUACCUGUCUGGUCUCUGAUCGUUGCUCUGGUGCCGAAAGCUUGCUUACGGUUAUCAAAGUCGAUGGUCAAUAGGUUAGAACGGGUUAAAUUCGUUAAGGAUGUUGACGUA
rnacentral:rRNA from 1 species